rnacentral:misc_RNA from 1 species
AAGUCGUAACAAGGUCUCCGUAGGUGAACCUGCGGAGGGAUCAUUAACACGUUUUAACAACGUACCCACCAAACCAAUGGAAACCGCAAUCUCAUUUGAAUCUCAUUUGUAUUGCAGUUCUCUCCCUCUAUCAAUUGACAGUUGUGGUCGUACUCACAAGUACUACUGUUCCUGUUCCUUGCUUGGAGGCUACUUCCCUUUCUCUGACCCCUUUCCAACUUCAAUGUGAGCUCGAUCUCUAUCUUGAUCUCGAGCUUGUAUUGGCACCAACUGCCCUGUAUUCUAUCUUGCUUGUGUUCGGCGUCCGUUGAUUCGGCUCCGAAGGCUCGCUUGCUAGUUGAUAUUUAAUGCAAAGCACAACUCUUAGCAACGGAUAUCUUGGUUCUC